rnacentral:rRNA from 1 species
UACCAGACUCCUACGGGAGGCAGCAGUGGGGAAUAUUGCACAAUGGGGGAAACCCUGAUGCAGCGACGCCGCGCGAAGGAAGAAGUAUUUCGGUAUGUAAACUUCUAUCAGCAGGGAAGAAAAUGACGGUACCUGACUAAGAAGCCCCGGCUAACUACGUGCCAGCAGCCGCGGUAAUACGUAGGGGGCAAGCGUUAUCCGGAUUUACUGGGUGUAAAGGGGGCGCAGACGGCGAUGCAAGCCAGGAGUGAAAGCCCGGGGCCCAACCCCCGGACUGCUUUGGAAACUGUAUAGCUGGAGUGCAGGAGAGGUAAGUGGAAUUCCUAGUGUAGCGGUGAAAUGCGUAGAUAUUAGGAGGAACACCAGUGGCGAAGGCGGCUUACUGGACUGUAACUGACGUUGAGGCUCGAAAGCGUGGGGAGCAAACAGGAUUAGAUACCCCUGUA